rnacentral:rRNA from 1 species
GACGAACGCUGGCGGCGUGCUUAACACAUGCAAGUCGAGCGGUAAGGCCCUUUCGGGGGUACGACGAGCGGCGAACGGGUGAGUAACACGUGGGUGACCUGCCCUCAGCUCUGGGAUAAGCCUGGGAAACCGGGUCUAAUACUGGAUAUGACUCCAUGACGCAUGUUGUGGGGUGGAAAGCCUUGUGCGGCUGAGGAUGGGCCCGCGGCCUAUCAGCUUGUUGGUGGGGUGANGGCCUACCAAGGCGACGACGGGUAGCCGGCCGUGAGAGGGCGACCGGCCACACUGGGACUGAGACACGGCCCAGACUCCUACGGGAGGCAGCAGUGGGGAAUCUUGCGCAAUGGGCGAAAGCCUGACGCAGCGACG